CCUACGGGUGGCAGCAGUGAGGAAUAUUGGUCAAUGGGCGCGAGCCUGAACCAGCCAAGUCGCGUGAGGGAAGACGGUCCUAUGGAUUGUAAACCUCUUUUGUCGGGGAGCAAAAGACGCCACGCGUGGCGUUCCGAGAGUCCCCGAAGAAAACGCAUCGGCUAACUCCGUGACAGCAGCCGCGGUAAUACGGAGGAGGCGGGCGUUGUCCGGAUUUAUUGGGUUUAAAGGGUGCUCAGGGGGAAGAUCAAGUGAGCGGUAAAAUGGAGAGGAUCAACCUCGUCGAGUCGUUGAAACUGGUUUUCUUGAGUGAGCGAGAAGUAUGCGGAAUGCGUGGUGUAGCGGUGAAAUGCAUAGAUAUCACGCAGAACUCCGAUUGCGAAGGCAGCAUACCGGCGCUCAACUGACGCUCAUGCACGAAAGUGUGGGUAUCGAACAGGAUUAGAUACCCCAGUAGUC
rnacentral:rRNA from 1 species